GGUGUCAUGGUUGUCGUCAGCUCGUGUCGUGAGAUGUGGUUAAGUCCGCAACGAGCGCAACCCCUAUUGUUAGUUGCCAUCAUUCAGUUGGGCACUCUAGCGAGACUGCCGGUAAUAAACCGGAGGAAGGUGGGGAUGACGUCAAAUCAUCAUGCCCCUUAUGACCUGGGCUACACACGUGCUACAAUGGUUGGUACAACGAGUUGCGAGUCGGUGACGGCGAGCUAAUCUCUUAAAGCCAAUCUCAGUUCGGACUGUAGGCUGCAACUCGCCUACAUGAAGUCGGAAUCGCUAGUAAUCGCGGAUCAGCACGCCGCGGUGAAUACGUUCCCGGGCCUU
rnacentral:rRNA from 1 species